rnacentral:tRNA from 1 species
GUUGAGGUGGCUGAGUUUAAGCGUUAGAUUGUAAAUCUAUUUACGGGGUUUUCCUUCUCAUCG